GACGAACGCUGGCGGCGUGCUUAACACAUGCAAGUCGAACGGAAAGGCCCUGCUUGCAGGGUACUCGAGUGGCGAACGGGUGAGUAACACGUAGGUGAUCUGCCCUGCACUUCGGGAUAAGCCUGGGAAACUGGGUCUAAUACCGGAUAGGAGCCAUUUUUAGUGUGAUGGUUGGAAAGUUUUUUCGGUGUAGGAUGAGCUCGCGGCCUAUCAGCUUGUUGGUGGGGUAAUGGCCUACCAAGGCGGCGACGGGUAGCCGGCCUGAGAGGGUGGACGGCCACAUUGGGACUGAGAUACGGCCCAGACUCCUACGGGAGGCAGCAGUGGGGAAUAUUGCACAAUGGGCGCAAGCCUGAUGCAGCGACGCCGCGUGGGGGAUGACGGCCUUCGGGUUGUAAACUCCUUUCGCUAGGGACGAAGCUUUUGUGACGGUACCUAGAUAAGAAGCACCGGCUAACUACGUG
rnacentral:rRNA from 1 species